rnacentral:rRNA from 1 species
CCAAUAGCGUAUAUUAAAGUUGUUGCAGUUAAAAAGCUCGUAGUUGAACUUCGGGGUUUACUCAUGGGUCAGGCUUAAUUGUCUGUACUGGUGAGCUGAAUCUCUACCUUCUGAGGAACUUUCAUGUCAUCUAUUUGGUGUGAUGGGAAAUCAGGACUGUUACUUUGAAAAAAUUAGAGUGUUUAAAGCAGGCUAACGUCUGAAUACAUUAGCAUGGAAUAAUGAAAUAGGACGGACUGAUUCUAUUUCGUUGGUUUCUAGGAUCACCGUAAUGAUUAAUAGGGAUAGUUGGGGGCAUUAGUAUUCAAUUGUCAGAGGUGAAAUUCUUGGAUUUAUUGAAGACUAACUACUGCGAAAGCAUUUGCCAAGGAUGUUUUCAUUAAUCAAGAACGAAAGUUAGGGGAUCGAAGACGAUCAGAUACCGUCGUAGUCUUAACCAUAAACUAUGCCGACUAGGGAUCGGACGAAGUUAAUUUUAUAAUGACGCGUUCGGCACCUUACG